GAUGAAGAACGCAGCGAAAUGCGAUAAGUAAUGUGAAUUGCAGAAUUCCGUGAAUCAUCGAAUUUUUGAACGCACAUUGCGCCCUCUGGUAUUCCGGGGGGCAUGCCUGUUCGAGCGUCAUUACAACCCUCAAGCUUUGCUUGGUAUUGGACAUUGCCAGUUUCUGGCAGGUCUUAAAAUCAGUGGCGGUGCCAUUUGGCUUCAAGCGUAGUAAUUCUUCUCGCUUUGGAGAUCCAAGUGGUUACUUGCCAAUAACCCCCAAUUUUUUCAGGUUGACCUCGGAUCAGGUAGGGAUACCCGCUGAACUUAAGCAUAUCAAUAAGCGGAGGA
rnacentral:misc_RNA from 1 species